UUCACCAUGUUGCAUAAUUCAC
rnacentral:siRNA from 1 species